AAAUCAUUCUUCUAUCCUUUUGUUAUUAUAGUUCUGAUUUUAUUGUGUAUGGUUUUAUAUAACUGUCACCUUAGUUGUACAUUGAGGAAGAGAGUACAGAAAUUAAUCCAUAAUGCUGAACAGAAACAAUUAGAAAUUCUCCUCUCUGCCACUGGAGGGUAUCAACCCAUCUUUAAACUGGGCCUUAGGAAUUACCACAUGGGAAUCGAGGUGAAGAAAUUAAUGAAAGUCCCGCAGGGAGUGACUAGCACCCCUGAAAAUACCAUGUGGAGGUUUCUCUGUCCUGGUAAGAUUUUAUCGAUAAGAUGAGCAA